rnacentral:rRNA from 1 species
ACUGGAGGACCGAACCGACUAAUGUUGAAAAAUUAGCGGAUGACCUGUGGCUGGGGGUGAAAGGCCAAUCAAACCGGGAGAUAGCUGGUUCUCCCCGAAAGCUAUUUAGGUAGCGCCUCGUGAAUUCAUCUCCGGGGGUAGAGCACUGUUUCGGCUAGGGGGCCAUCCCGGCUUACCAACCCGAUGCAAACUGCGAAUACCGGAGAAUGUUAUCACGGGAGACACACGGCGGGUGCUAACGUCCGUCGUGAAGAGGGAAACAACCCAGACCGCCAGCUAAGGUCCCAAAGUCAUGGUUAAGUGGGAAACGAUGUGGGAAGGCCCAGACAGCCAGGAUGUUGGCUUAGAAGCAGCCAUCAUUUAAAGAAAGCGUAAUAGCUCACUGGUCGAGUCGGCCUGCGCGGAAGAUGUAACGGGGCUAAACCAUGCAC